rnacentral:misc_RNA from 1 species
ACGAAGUUGAUCAACUUCAUGGCAUCUCGAAGUUUAUCAGACUCAGACUCGGAGCCUGAGGAUGCCCUACACAUCGGCUCGAACAAUGACGAUGGAGACCUCGGUGAGCCACCCCAGAAAAAGAAGAAGGUGGAAAAUGUGGGCGGCGGCCUGUAUAAUGACUUCUCAGCCAGGAUGAUGGCCAAGAUGGGCUACAAAGAGGGAAUGGGCCUGGGUAAGGCACAGCAGGGGCGGACCGAGAUUGUGGAGGCGUCCAAUCAGAGAGGGAGGCGCGGUCUGGGGUUACGCAUCAAAGGACUCGAGCCAUCAAGGGAAGUGGAUUGGAACUUCGAGCUCGAGGAGAUCAUUGAAAAAGAGGAGAUUUCUUGGAUCCCAAAAUGUGGUGAGCCAGUUCCCAGCAUUGAGAUAAUGCGGAACUGGAAAGUCGUGGGCAAGAAAAAGUUAACAAUAGAUGAUGAAAUAGAGUUCUGCGAUGAAGAUGUUUUAUCAGCGAUUAUAAAAUGCAAGAAUGUAUUUGAUGAACUUGAACCAGAGGAAAUGAGAAGAGCAAGAACACGAUCAAAUCCUUACGAGACGAUACGGGGGGUGUUCUUUCUCAACAGAGCAGCGGUCAAAAUGGCAAAUAUGGAUUCAAUGCUUGAUGACAUGUUUACAUCACCGAAGGAUGCAAAUGGGAAACCUAUACUGAAGCCUUCUGACAUUUUGUUCUUCGCUGAUAUCUGUGCGGGGCCAGGAGGUUUCAGUGAGUACGUGCUGUGGAGAACCAAGGGGGACGCCAAGGGAUUCGGAAUGACCUUGAAAGGUCCUUGUGACUUCAAAUUGGAAGACUUUUUUGCAGGACCUCCUGAAAUGUUUGAGCCUCAUUAUGGUGUGGGAGGUAUUGAAGGAGAUGGGGACAUAUUUAACCCCAAGAACCAGGCAGAGUUUGUCAAGUUUGUGAAGGACAACACGGAUGGCAAAGGGGUCUACUUUGUUAUGGCUGAUGGGGGUUUCUCAGUGGAAGGUCAAGAAAACAUCCAGGAGAUUUUGUCCAAACAGCUCUAUCUCUGUCAGUUCCUGGUCGCCAUUUCAAUCCUUAGACCAGGUGGUCACUUUGUGUGUAAAUUGUUUGACCUGUUCACCCCAUUCAGUGUGGGGCUGGUCUAUCUGAUGUACAGAAUCUUCCACAAAGUCUCCAUCUGUAAACCCGUCACCAGCCGCCCAGCAAACUCAGAGAGGUUUGUCUCAUUAAAAAGAUAUCCUUACUUUUGUCUCCUAACGUAGCAGGCUUAAGGGCCAUAACACUAAGGCAAGCUAAAUCUUGAUAUGAGCAUCACUUUCAAAUUAAGCAAAAGCUAUAUUAUGUGAAAAGAUGUGGCUGAAAUAAUAAGUGAGCUCAUCCAAGUUUUGUGGCUGCAGAGCCAGAUCUAGUUUAACUUAGUCCAUUUGUCAACUUUGACCUUCUCAUGGUAACAGGUACAUAGUUUGCCAGGGUCUCCGUGACGACAGUGACCCAGUAAGACAGUACAUGCAUGAGAUUAACCUAGAUCUAAAUCGUCUUCUGGUCCCAUCCUCAACACAGGAUGUCUGCCAUAUUGUUCCAAUGGAUGAGCUUCAUGCAGACGAGUGUUUUAUCAACUACAUUUAUGAGUCUAAUGUAAAACUUGGUCAAAUGCAGAUUUCAGGUUUAAAAAAGAUUCAAGCUUUUGUUCAGAACGGUCAGUUGUACGAGACCAGGCAGGCUGAUGUCCGCAGAGACUGCCUGAAGAGAUGGAAUCUCCCUGAUGAAGUCAGAAAAGCUCCUACAAAAUCAAAUCCCAAAGACAAGUUUGAAUCUAUCACAGAGGGGAGUGAUGUGGAUUUUAUUUCCCAUGACAUAGAGGAUCUCAGCCCAGACACACUCUCCAAUAUCAAAACUCCGUACAAUUACCGAUGUUAUGUGGUGGGGAACCAAGAACGGAAGCGCUGGUACCUACUCGGCUGUGGGGUAUGCAGCUUUCAUUGUUUGCUAUCACUUCUACCGCUGCUAUUUCUUGUUAAAAACUAAUGUUAAUUUCAGAGGUCGCAUGUAUUUAAAUGGGAUGGAAAUCCUCAAUCGCGGUGGAGGAAGUUGGAUGAGAUACGAAUCGAACUACCGACAGACACACUGAUCGAGGUGGAGAUCGUUCAGGAGAUGAAAGGCGAGGGGACAGGCCAGCGGAGGGUGACGAUCUUGCAUGCUCUAGACGCUCUCUUCCUGUAUGGCAAAGAUGUCCGUAGUUACGCCUUCAGCGACAGAAUUGAGCGGCUGAAGAAGUUUGUGCGGUGCAUCACCAAACAUACUCGCAACGAUCUGACCAAGAUCCACAUCCCAUACAUCUACAGGCUGGAGGAGGUCCAUCAGCUGUUUGACAGGUUAGAGUUCCGGCGAGUGAAGGGCUCCAGUAAUCCCCGUCUGUGCUACUGCCCCCCGGACCGUGACGACGGACGAUGCUUCCUGCCUUCUGGUCUCUGUAUCGUCAAAAUCGUCAAAGAUCCCUGGACUAUGGCGCUUAGCAAAUCAGCCAAUCAAAAGUACUUUUACAACACACUUACAAAAGAAUCAACGUUUAGCUGUCCUUUAAACAGUAUGGCAAACUGCAGUGACUGCAAGAAAUCAAGCUAUUUAUGGAAGUUUGAGGAAGGAGUGAAAAUCCAUCCAAAUCAGGCAUUCUCAGCCAACCCCAAAAAGAUCUCCAAAGACAAUUUCUUGGACUACAUUCAAAUGUUGUCUCCUCGGUGACCUUACAUAAACCUACAUCUUAUAUAUAUAUUAUUCAUCUUCAUCCUCAACGCUCAUGAACAAUUUGUUUUUUUCUUGUGCAACAUGAGCCAUGAAAUGUUGCUGAGAAUUUUAUUAAUGUGUUUUUGAUUGACUCUUUAUAUAAAUGUGUAUGAUUUAUAUAAACAUCUUGUUGUG